rnacentral:rRNA from 1 species
AUUCUUUAGAUGAAGCGAUCUGGAAAGAUCCGCCAUAGGAGGUAAGAGCCCUGUAAUCGAAAGAGAAUUUCCUCCGGAGUGGAUCCUGAGUACGGCGGAACACGUGGAAUUCCGUCGGAAUCCGGGAGGACCAUCCUCCAAGGCUAAAUACU